AUUGAACGCUGGCGGCAGGCUUAACACAUGCAAGUCGAGCGGGGACUUCGGUCCUAGCGGCGAACGGGUGAGGAAUGCUUGGGAAUCUGCCCAGUAGCGGGGGAUAACGUUUCGAAAGGAACGCUAAUACAGCAUACGCCCUACGGGGGAAAGGGGGGGAUCUUCGGACCUCUCACUAUUGGAUGAGCCCAAGUCGGAUUAGCUAGUUGGUGGGGUAAAGGCCUACCAAGGCGACGAUCCGUAGCUGGUCUGAGAGGAUGAUCAGCCACACUGGAACUGAGACACGGUCCAGACUCCUACGGGAGGCAGCAGUGGGGAAUAUUGGACAAUGGGCGAAAGCCUGAUCCAGCCAUGCCGCGUGUGUGAAGAAGGUCUUCGGGUUGUAAAGCACUUUAAGCGAGGAGGAAUGGCUCUUGGUUAAUAACCUUGAGCAGUGACGUUACUCGCAGAAUAAGCACCGGCUAACUCUGUGCCAGCAGCCGCCGUAAAAC
rnacentral:rRNA from 1 species